rnacentral:rRNA from 1 species
UACAGGGGGUGCAAACGUUGCUCGGAAUCAUUGGGCGUAAAGCGCACGUAGGCGGUCUGUUAUGUCGGAUGUGAAAGCCUUUGGCUUAACUGAGGAAGUGCAUCCGAAACUGGCAGGCUAGAGUACUAAAGAGGGUCGCGGAAUUCCCGGUGUAGAGGUGAAAUUCGUAGAUAUCGGGAGGAACACCGGUGGCGAAGGCGGCGACCUGGGUAGAUACUGACGCUGAGGUGCGAAAGCGUGGGGAGCAAACAGG